CUGAACCCUGGCCUAAGAGAGCAACAGAUUGGAUUUUCCUUUCCCAAAUCCUGGUCUACUAGCAGGCAGUAUCCAGAUCCUGGAGAUGUGGAUCCUUUCAGAGGAGAGAGGAUCUUGGGCAAACCAGUGGUCUUGUCUUGCCUCGAUGAGAUGGGGCUCAUGGAGGCACUCCCACUUUUCCCUCCCUCACGCUUUUCCUCAUUUCACAUUUUCCUGUCAAGCUUUCCCCCCUCACACUCUUCUCACAUUUUUUCCUGCUCCCACUUUCCCACUCACACUUUUCCCACUCGCACUUUUCCCCUCACACUUUUCCCUCACACUUUUCCCGCUCGCACUUUUCCCCCUCACACUUUUCCCCACACUUUUCCCCUCACACUUUUCCUGCUCACACUUUCCCCCUCACACUUUUCCCGCUCACACUUUUCCCGCUCACACUUUUCCCGCUCACACUUCUCCCCUCACACUUUUCCCCCUCACACUUUUCCUCCUCACAUUCUUCCCCUCACACUUUUCCCCUCACACUUUUCCUGCUCACAUUCUUCCCCUCACACUUUCUCACUUGCACUUUUCCCCUCACUCUUUUCCUGGUCACACUUUUCCCGCUCACAUUUUUUCCUGCUCCCACUUUCCCACUCACACUUUUCCCACUCGCACUUUUCCCCUCACACUUUUCCCUCACACUUUUCCCGCUCGCACUUUUCCCCCUCACACUUUUCCCCACACUUUCCCCUCACAAUUUUCCCGCUCGCACUUUUCCCCUCACACUUUCCCCUCACACUUUUCCCCUCACACUUUUCCCCACACUUUUCCCUCACACUUUUCCCGCUCGCACUUUUCCCCUCAUACUUUUCCCCUCACACUUUCCCCUCACACUUUUCCUGCUUGCACUUUUCCCUCACACUUUUCCUGCUCACACUUCCCCCCUCACAUUUUCUACCCUUUUUGCUUUUCGUCCUCAUGUUUUUUUCCCUCCAUGAUUUUCCCCCUCAUACUUUUCCCUCACUAAUUUUUCCCCUCAUGCUUUUCCCCCACUUGCAUUUUUUCACCCUCCUCUCAUUUUUUCCCCGCUUGUGCUCUUCCCCUCAUGCUUUCUACCCCUUGCAUUGUUCUCCCUCACACUUUUCCCCUUGCACUUUUUCCCCACUCUCACUUUCCCUCAUCCUCUUUUUCCCCCCUUGCACUUUUUCCCCACUCUCACUUUCCCCCAUCUUCUUUUUCCUCCUGGGCUUUUUCUCUUUGUACUUUUUCCCCCUGUGCUUUUUCCCCUCACGUUUUUUCCCCUCAGGCCUCACUGCCAGGCGCCAUUUUGUCCCCUCUCGUUCCCUGCCCCCCUGAGGUGCCCCCGGCUUGAUGAGGGGCCUGGCUGUGCAGCCCUUGGAAUUGGAAGGAAUUCUGGUCGUGCCCAGAACAGGACAAUUCCUGGACACCCACAUCCAGUGCCUUUGUGGAUGGGAUGUUGUCCUUCCCAGUUAUCUGAGGAGCCAUGAGGGAAAAGAGCGGAUCCUGGGAGCAGCGACCCUCAGGGCUGGUGCCAUGGCCCUCCAGCCCCAAGAUGCAGUAAAGCUGUAUUUAAAAUGAGGUGGCUUCUUCAGGGAGCCCUGGCAGCAGAUGAUGUGCUGAGGGGUGAAACCUACCAAAGCAAAGCAGCAAGUUUCGCUUUUUUCACCUGAUCGGUUCAGCUCCAACAGCGUUCCCCAGGUAAGAGGCGAUUUCGGCUGGAUGUAGGAGAGGUGCUAGUUUGCCACAGAGCCCAGGUGCUUGUGACCUUUGGGAGGAAACAGAGAGGCCCUUCUUCAUUUCUUUUAUUCUUUCAUUUCGUCUUGUGAAUCAGGUUUAGCCUCUUUUGUUGCCAGAGUGUGGAAUCCUG
rnacentral:lncRNA from 12 species